rnacentral:snoRNA from 1 species
GCGGAUGAUGAUGAAUCAAACCUGAUUGAUGAAGAGCCCUAUGAGCGCUGACG